AUGUGUGUGUGUAUGUGUGUGUGUGAGUGUGUGUGUAUAUGUGUGUUGUGUUUAUACAUAUAUACAUACAUGUGUAAAAUGUGUGCUUUUAUCCAUUUUUUUCACCAGUGCAUGCACUUGGAAUGUUUCUGUGCAUGGUAAAAGAGAGAGAGAAAGAAAGAGAGGAGAGAGAGAGAGAGAGAGAGAGAGAGAGAGAGAUAGAGAGAGAGAGAGAGAGAGAGAGAGAGAG